GACGAACGCUGGCGGCGUGCUUAACACAUGCAAGUCGAACGGAAAGGCCCUGCUUUUGUGGGGUGCUUGAGUGGCGAACGGGUGAGUAACACGUGAGUAACCUGCCCUUGACUUUGGGAUAACUUCAGGAAACUGGGGCUAAUACCGGAUAGGAGCUCCUGCUGCAUGGUGGGGGUUGGAACGUUUCGGCGGUUGGGGAUGGACUCGCGGCUUAUCGGCUUGUUGGUGGGGUAGUGGCUUACCAAGGCUUUGACGGGUAGCCGGCCUGAGAGGGUGACCGGCCACAUUGGGACUGAGGUACGGCCCAGACUCCUACGGGGGGCAACAGUGGAGAAUAUUACACAAUGAGCGGAAGCCUAGUGCAGCGACGCCGCGUGCGGGAUGACGGCCUUCGGGUUGUAAACCGCUUUCGCCUGAGACGAAGCGUGAGUGACGGUAAUGGGUAAAGAAGCACCGGCUAACUACGUG
rnacentral:rRNA from 1 species